rnacentral:rRNA from 1 species
AUUGAACGCUGGCGGCAGGCUGAACACAUCCCAGUCGAACGAGUGGCGGACGGGUGAGUAAUGUCUGGGAAACUGCAAGAUGGAGGGGGAUAACUACUGGAAACGGUAGCUAAUACCGCAUACCAUCAGAUGUGCCCAGAUGGGAUUAGCGAGUUGGUGGGGUACUGGCUCACCAAGGCGACGAUCCCUAGCUGGUCCGAGAGGAGGACAAGGGAGACUGGAACUGAGACCCGGUCCGGGAGAAGAGGAGAGGAAGAAGGGGGGGGGGGGGGGAGCGGGGCGCAAGCCUUGGGCGUCCAUGCCGCGUGUAUGAUGUAGGCGGGCGGGUGGGAAACUACUUUCGGCUGGGAGGCGUUACCCGCAGAAGAAGCACCGGCUAACUCCGUGCCAGCAGCCGCGGUAAUUC